CAGCAGCCACGGGAAUACGAAGGGGGCUAGCGUUGUUCGGAAUUACUGGGCGUAAAGCGCACGUAGGCGGAUUUUUAAGUCAGGGGUGAAAUCCCGAGGCUCAACCUCGGAACUGCCUUUGAUACUGGAGAUCUUGAGUUCGGAAGAGGUUGGUGGAACAGCUAGUGUAGAGGUGAAAUUCGUAGAUAUUAGCUAGAACACCAGUGGCGAAGGCGGCCAACUGGUCCGAUACUGACGCUGAGGUGCGAAAGCGUGGGGAGCAAACAGGAUUAGAUACCCCAGUAGUCCCUGUCUCUUAUAC
rnacentral:rRNA from 1 species